UACAGAGGUCUCGAGCGUUAGGCGGAAUCACUGGGCUUAAAGCGUGUGUAGGCAGAUUGGUAAGUACUUUGUGAAAUCCCACGGCUUAACCGUGGAACUGCUUGGUAUACUGCCAGUCUUGAGCCAGCUAGGGGCUACCGGAACAAAUGGUGGAGCGGUGAAAUGCGUAGAUAUCAUUUGGAACGCCAAUGGUGAAAACAGGUAGCUGGGGCUGUGCUGACGCUGAGACACGAAAGCCAGGGGAGCAAACGGG
rnacentral:rRNA from 1 species